AUUUCUCGAGUGUGGUUCUUAGUUUUUGUAUGACCGGGUAAUGGUUUUCCCGUAUGGUGGUCUGAGUGGACUUCGUGAGUUUGAUCCCCAAGUAUUGUAAGGAGGUUUUACGCCAGUCAAAAGUGUGUUGUGCUUGUAGCGUCGUGACGAUAGUGCUCGACAAGUUUAUAGGCAAUGCUUGUGUCUUCAUUGUGUUGUUCCUAUAUUAAGAAACCCAUCCAUAUGUGUCGAGCCUGUGUAUG